UACGUAGGUGGCAAGCGUUUGUUCGGAAUUACUGGGCGUAAAGGGUUCGUAGGUGGCCAACUAAGUCAGACGUGAAAUCCCUCAGCUUAACUGGGGAACUGCGUCUGAGACUGGAUGGCUUGAGUGCAGGAGAGGAACGCGGAAUUCCAGGUGUAGCGGUGAAAUGCGUAGAUAUCUGGAGGAAUACCGGUGGCGAAGGCGGCGUUCUGGACGGAUACUGACGCUGAGGCGCGAAAGCCAGGGGAGCAAAGCGGG
rnacentral:rRNA from 1 species